rnacentral:rRNA from 1 species
GAUGAACGCUGGCGGCGUGCCUAAUACAUGCAAGUCGAGCGAACAGACGAGGAGCUUGCUCCUCUGACGUUAGCGGCGGACGGGUGGGUAACACGUGGAUAACCUACCUAUAAGACUGGGAUAACUUCGGGAAACCGGAGCUAAUACCGGAUAAUAUAUUGAACCGCAUGGUUCAAUAGUGAAAGACGGUUUUGCUGUCACUUAUAGAUGGAUCCGCGCCGCAUUAGCUAGUUGGUAAGGUAACGGCUUACCAAGGCAACGAUGCGUAGCCGACCUGAGAGGGUGAUCGGCCACACUGGAACUGAGACACGGUCCAGACUCCUACGGGAGGCAGCAGUAGGGAAUCUUCCGCAAUGGGCGAAAGCCUGACGGAGCAACGCCGCGUGAGUGAUGAAGGUCUUCGGAGCGUAAAACUCUGUUAUUAGGGAAGAACAAAUGUGUAAGUAACUAUGCACGUCUUGACGGUACCUAAUCAGAGAGCCACGGCUAACUACGUG